UGUGUAAAAUGCCGCUUUUGGAGAAGGCGUGCGCUGGUGUACAUGCAUGUGUGCGUGUAUGUAAAACUAUUUUUGCAGGUUAAAAGCUUUGACGCAGAAGGUAAAGAACGUCGUACUGUCACAGUUUCGCCACUCUCCCCAGAGUUACACGACGAUGGUCAACACACGUCACAUUCCGUCGCAGACUGGCACAGUAGCGAACUGCGUGUCCGCAGCGAGAAGAUCGGUUUCCGUAUGUCAUUCUUAGUGCAAUGGCUAACCACUCCAAGUAAGAAGCUCAUAUGCUUGCCCAGUGUUUGUUGUGAAGAUCCCAGAAAAGUGAAUAUUUCAAUUAUUUUUGAAGUAACUGGAGGAAAAGUCUGACAAAACAGUAAAACAGUUUCAGGCACAGCAGACUGAACAACCGCUGCUCAGUGUACAACAGACAACAAAGUUACUGUCUCAACAAGCAGCACCACAGCCAGUAGCUGCACCCAAGUUUCACCAAUUUAAUAUCAAAGAAGAGGACUGGACUGGAUUAGAUUAGAUUCAGUUUUCCUUCCAAAGACCCAAAAAUCAGACGACUCUCAUGGGUGUCGAACAAGUCAAAAAAUAUAACAUAAAAAACCUAAAACACCUGAAUAUAAUACUCACUAACCUGAUCAUUUGUCGGGAGAUUGUCAAAUAGGUGAGUAUAUUACACUGAACUGGAACUGCUAAUAUUUACAGAAUUAAUACAAUGUCAGAAUGGAACACAGUUAUACAGUUUUAAUAAA